UACAGAGGUCCCGAGCGUUGUUCGGAUUCACUGGGCGUAAAGGGCGCGUAGGUGGCUUGGUAAGUUUGGUGUGAAAGCUCAGGGCUUAACCCUGAAAUGGCAUUGAAUACUGUCGAGCUGGAGGUUUGGAGGGGGGACUGGAAUUCUUGGUGUAGCAGUGAAAUGCGUAGAUAUCAAGAGGAACACCAGUGGCGAAGGCGAGUCCCUGGACAACACCUGACACUGAGGCACGAAAGCUAGGGGAGCAAAAGGG
rnacentral:rRNA from 1 species